rnacentral:rRNA from 1 species
UCAAGUAAAGAAGCGCACAUGGUGGAUGCCAUGGCGUCAGGAGGCGAAGAAGGACGUGCUAAUCUGCGAAAAGCUGAGGUAAGACGAUAAGGGUCGCAAUAGCCUCAGAUGUCCGAAUGGGGAAACCCAACAACGUAAGUUGUUAUCUACGCUAUAGGUGUAGAGGCGAACUAGGAGAAGUGAAACAUCUCAGUACCCUAAGGAAAAGAAAUCAAGAAGAGAUUUCCUAAGUAGCGGCGAGCGAACGGGAAGGAGCCCAAAAGUUUGUAUAGUUCAAGUGGAAUAACCUGGGAAGGUUAAGCGCAGAGGGUGAAACUCCCGUACACGGAAGAGGUAUACAGAUGAUACACGAGUAAGGCGGGACACGUGGUAUCCUGUCUGAAUAUGGGGGGACCAUCCUCCAAGGCUAAAUACUACCUGACGACCGAUAGUGAACCAGUACCGUGAGGGAAAGGCGAAAAGAACCCCUGUAAGGGGAGUGAAAUAGAACCUGAAACCGUGUGCGUACAAGCAGUGGGAGCAUAUUGAAAGAUAUGUGACUGCGUACCUUUUGUAUAAUGGGUCAGCGAGUUAUCUGUAUUAGCAAGGUUAACUUAAAUGAGGGAGCCGUAGGGAAACCGAGUCUUAAAAGGGCGAGUAGUUGAUACAGGUAGACCCGAAACCGAGUGAGCUAGUCCUGGACAGGCUGAAAGUAGGGUAACACCUGCCGGAGGGCCGAACCCACUAACGUUGCAAAGUUAGGGGAUGAUCUGGGACUAGGGGUGAAAGGCCAAUCAAACUCGGUGAUAGCUGGUUCUCCCCGAAAGCUAUUUAGGUAGCGUCCUGUGAGGACGGACGGGGGUAGAGCACUGUUACGGUAAGGGUCCCAUCCCGGGAUACCGAACCGUUGCAAACUACGAAUACCGUCCAGUUGGAAGCAGGGGACACACGGUGGGUGCUAACGUUCAUCGUGAAGAGGGAAACAACCCGGACCGCCAGCUAAGGUCCCAAAGUUCUAGUUAAGUGGGAAACGAUGUGGGAAGGCAUAGACAGCCAGGAUGUUGGCUUAGAAGCAGCCAUCAUUGAAAGAAAGCGUAAUAGCUCACUGGUCGAGUCGGCCUGCGCGGAAGAUGUAACGGGGCUAAAACUAGACACCGAAGCUGCGGAUUUACACUAAGGUGUAAGUGGUAGGGGAGCGUUCUGUAAACUGAAGAAGAUAAACUGGGAAGUUUAUUGGAGGGAACAGAAGUGCGAAUGCUGACGCAAGUAACGAUAAAACGAGUGAAAAGCUCGUUCGCCGAAAGACCAAGGGUUCCUGUCCAACGUUAAUCGGGGCAGGGUGAGUCGGUACCUAAGACGAGGCUGAAAAGCGUAGUCGAUGGACAACAUGUUAAUAUUCAUGUACCGAUAUUUACUGCGAUGGGGUGACGGAGAAGGGAAGGUUAGCCUGAGAACGGAAGUUCAGGUGAAAGACAGUAGGGAGCAGCACGGGUUAAAAGACGAGCUGUGAUGAACUGAGAGUUGAGAGGAGUAGGAUACGUUCUACGAAGUAACUAGACCAAGCUUCCAGGAAAAGCCUCUAAGCUAAAGGUAGAUAUCGACCGUACCCCAAACCGACACAGGUGGUCGGGUAGAGGAUACCAAGGCGCUUGGGAGAACCCGGGUGAAGGAACUAGGCAAAAAUGUACCGUAACUUCGGGAGAAGGUACGCUGUUCAUUGUGAAAUCUGCACAGAUGGAGCGAAGAACAGCCGCAGAAGAAUGGUGGCUGGGACUGUUUAACAAAAACACAGCACUCUGCGAACCUGAAAGGGGAAGUAUAGGGUGUGACACCUGCCCGGUGCCGGAAGGUUAAAUGAUGAGGUCAGGCGCAAGCUGAAGCCUUUGAGUGAAGCCCCGGUAAACGGCGGCCGUAACUAUAACGGUCCUAAGGUAGCGAAAUUCCUUGUCGGGCAAGUUCCGACCUGCACGAAUGG